rnacentral:lncRNA from 1 species
UGUAAAUGUACUGUCCUAACAUACUCUAAAUUUAUGCUUUCGCCGUAAAACCUUUUUGAAAUCGUAAAACGUGGUUAGAUUAAGGAGAUGUUUAUCUUUCAAAGGGUGUAAAAUAGUUGUAUGUUUGAAAAAUUUGAAUUUUGACAUUUAUUUGGAUUCAAAUUUGCCGCUCUUGAAAUGCACCUGCUGUUGAUGGAGUGCACCACGGGUGGCACGCUAGCGUCCCACCUAGCCCAUAGAGGUUAACGAGAGUCUUGUCUUUAAAAUGGUGUAAAAUAGUCAUAUGUUUGAAAAAUUGAAGUUUUUGCAUUUUUGAGGUUUUUGAAUAACGCGCCACGGGAUUACACUGGCUGUUACGUAGGUGGGACGAUUUGGUGCCACCUACCCUAGAGAGGUUAACAAACAGUCUUCUCAUGUGCUCUGCUUGUAUAUCUUCAACUUCUAUGUCUACCUGUUCUGGUCUCUCUAACUCUGGCCUUUCUAUAUGGUCUACCUGAUUAGCUGAAAUCUAAUCCAUUGCUUAACCUGUUGGAUCCUAGUAAACCAACUCUAGGGAUAAUAUCUGGACCUAAUAUUUUAGCUACCAUAAUCGUGUCCGCCAAGUAAUUUGGGAACGCUUCUACCCAUUUACUAUUCUUAUCUAUUAUUGCAAAACACCCUUCUUUCCCUCACUUUGGAAUAGGUUAUAACAUAUAUCAAUGAAGUCCAUUUCUAAUUGAUGGAAUGGAUAUUGUACCUGGGGGGUAUUCUCCCAGUGGUGCUCUUACUCUACCUUGAUGAUUAUUCUAUGCACAAAUAACACAUCUGGAACCAUUUUUUUUAAGUAAUUUGUAAUUCCGUAUGCCUUUCCUAACUAUUUCCAUCAUCCCCCCUGUUGAUACAUGGCUUUGCCCAUGUAUCAAUAUUGCUGCAUAUCUGAACAAUGACUUCGGUAGUAUGGGUAACUUAUCCCUUUACCAAAUCCCAUCUGUAUAGACCGCUCCUAACUUUUCCCAUUUUGAAAUCUCCUUAACUGGUGCUCUACUUUGACAGUUCUGUAAUACCGUUUUGUCUAUGUUCACUUCUUCUUUUAACAAUUACUGUUUAAAUGGCCAUGGUUUAAGACUGGCCUUUUAUGCUUCCUCAUCUGCUUUCCUGUUGCCCUUGCUAAUUUUAUCCAUUCCUUUAGAGUGAGCUUCACACCUACAAAUAGCUAACUUUUCUGGCAACUGUACAGUAUCUAAUAAAUUCAAAAUCAACUGGGCAUGUGUAAUAGGUGUACCAGAAGUGAUCACCAUUCCCCUUGUAACA